AGGCGGCAGCGGAAGGUGGGAGCGACGACUGCAAAACGGCAGCGAUGGGGUGGGUAGGCAGGCCGCUUUCAGCGCGCUUCUAACAAGGUGGAGAGAGGCGCUUCACUUCCCUACCGCCCUUACCGCCGCUCCGUCUUGUCUCCCACCGACUCACAGGGAGGCUUGCUGCUCCUCCGCGGCCGUUACAGAGAGCGGGGCUUCUGCGGCCGCUACCGUUUCCCUGGGGCUAGGUUGCUUCGCAGAAGGCUCUGGCCCUGAGUCCGAGGGGGACUGCGGGGUCCAGGGGCGAUGAAUGCUCCCGCAACCUCCGGAGCUUGUGCGCGUACUUCAGGGACCGGCACCACGUCACCGUCACCUCCUGAGUAGUGAGUUCCCCUCUGAUGAAACCACUGGUGUGUUUACUCACCAUCCCCACCAUUUUUUUUUCCCCAACCUGAUGGAAGGAAGUACAUAAUGGAGAGCAAGUUUUUAAAGCACGGUCGUGUCGUGUGAACUUGCUCUAGCCAAAUUAGGUUUAUAGCACUUUUUUUGGCUCUCAUUACCUCCAGUCCCCACAUAAACAAGAGUGACCAGCUGGGUCAUCCGCAAGACCGUUUGAAAUUAUUGUGGCUUGGGUGGAAACUUAAAGGAGUGAAGUAUCUGCUUUCCAGAAAAAUCGUUGUCAUUCAAAGUGAAAUUAAACUUGUUUUCUUUGCAAUAAUUCGCCUUUAUUUCCUUGUAUAUCUGUAAACUCUUCACUUUUUUGUAAUUACUAGACAAUUCGGACUUAAAAAGAGCCUCAGCAUGUGUAUUUUGGAAUUGUGUAGCUUCAUAAUGUGAAAAUUAUUCUUUUCUAUUUGAGUAAAGUACAGUUAAUUUGAAGUAAAUAAAAUUUCUAUUUCCAAAAAAAAAAAAAAAAAA
rnacentral:lncRNA from 1 species